AUUGAACGCUGGCGGCAUGCUUUACACAUGCAAGUCGAACGGUAACAGCACUUCGGUGGCUGACGAGUGGCGAACGGGUGAGUAAUACAUCGGAACGUGCCUUGUAGUGGGGGAUAACUACUCGCAAGAGUAGCUAAUACCGCAUGAGAUCUAAGGACGAAAGCCGGGGACCUUCGGGCCUUGCGCUACUAGUGCGGCAGGUGGCGGUUUAGGUAGUUGGUGGGAUAAAAGCUUACCAAGCCGACGAUCUGUAGCUGGUCGGAGAGGACGACCAGCCACACUGGGACUGGGACACGGCCCAGACGCCUACGGGAGGCAGCAGUGGGGAAUUUUGGACAAUGGGCGCAAUCCUGAUCCAGCAAUGCCGCGUGCAGGAUGAAGGCCUUCGGGUUGUAAACUGCGUUUGUACGGAACGAAAAGCCCUCUUCUAAUACAGGAGGGUCAUGACGGUACCGUAAGAAUAAGCACCGGCUAACUACGUG
rnacentral:rRNA from 1 species